UUCACUCUCCACAACCUUUAGUCCGCCCGAUCCGAAACACAGUAGGACACAAACUUCUGUAAAUUGGAUUUCAAGAUGGACUUGAGGUUGGAAGCCAACUUGGAGAUGGAAUUGCAACUGGGUUUUCAACACAACAGAGUUCCCCAACAUAAAGCUUGCAAUCAGCUUCAUCCUCCUAUUCUGUGAAGAGAAAUUGGUGAUUUCGAUGAGAGAAUUGGCCUAGGCUCACGGUGAUUUGUACCGGGUACAAAUCAAGUACAGGAGCUGUGGUGUCACAAAUUUUAGAGUUCCAGAAAUUGAUUCGACGGUACCAGGCAAGGACAGCAGCUGCAGUCAGGACUCCAGAGCUUCAAUUUGAGGGUGAGUCUCUGUCUACUUAGACUUUGUUCAUAUUUUUUGUGUUAUUUGAGUUGGUGCUUUAAAGGCAGGUCCCUUUUCAAUUUGACAUGGUGAUAGGAGGGACUGUUCUGUUUAUAGAACAUCGGAGACGCUGCUCCGGUAUAUUCAUCGGGACGCUGCCCGGCAUGGUCAUCGGAGGCGCUGCUCCGGCAUGGUUUCAUCGGGACGCUGCCCCGCAUGUUGGCUUUGACAUCAUUGACACCCGAAGGUGCCGUUGUGAGGAGGGCUGCAACAGAAAAGAGAAGGUGGUGGAGAGCAAUGGAAUGAGGUCUGAACCUUUUGUCUUCCAAGCUGCUUGCUGCUUUCUCCUUCUUGUAUUUUUUCCACCCUGCUAUGCUCCGUUGUCCUCCCCCUUUUUCUUCUUUUCAUGUAGUGUUUUUAUACUGCACCCGAGAUGAGUUUGGCUUGUAUACAACACAGAGGGUUUUAGAGUUCAACUUGAAGUGAACUAGUUGGACAUUUUAUCUCCUUAUUCUUUUGAAGUGAAGACUGCAGCUUCUUUUUCAAUUGCUUGUCUAGACUUUGAAACAAGCUAGAAGUCAGCAGCUUAAGUGUUUCUUUUGUUUAAAGCUUCACUAGCUGUCAAACUCGUCCGCUAUUUUUCUUGAGAUAAAAGGCUUUUAAUAUUACAUAAAUUAAAGCACUCUUAUUUUCUUUCAGUGGACGAAACUUAAUGUAAUUGGGUAUG